rnacentral:rRNA from 1 species
UGGGGAAUAUUGCGCAAUGGGGGGAACCCUGACGCAGCCAUGCCGCGUGAAUGAAGAAGGCCUUCGGGUUGUAAAGUUCUUUCGGUAUUGAGGAAGGUUGAUGUGUUAAUAGCACAUCAAAUUGACGUUAAAUACAGAAGAAGCACCGGCUAACUCCGUGCCAGCAGCCGCGGUAAUACGGAGGGUGCGAGCGUUAAUCGGAAUAACUGGGCGUAAAGGGCACGCAGGCGGUUAUUUAAGUGAGGUGUGAAAGCCCUGGGUUUAACCUAGGAAUUGCAUUUCAGACUGGGUAACUAGAGUACUUUAGGGAGGGGUAGAAUUCCACGUGUAGCGGUGAAAUGCGUAGAGAUGUGGAGGAAUACCGAAGGCGAAGGCAGCCCCUUGGGAAUGUACUGACGCUCAUGUGCGAAAGCGUGGGGAGCAAACAGGAUUAGAUACCCUGGUAGUCCACGCUGUAAACGCUGUCGAUUUGGGGAUUGGGCUUAGAGCUUGGUGCCCGUAGCUAACGUGAUAAAUCGACCGCCUGGGGAGUACGGCCGCAAGGUUA